rnacentral:rRNA from 1 species
AGGGAAUCUUCCACAAUGGGCGAAAGCCUGAUGGAGCAACGCCGCGUGAGUGAAGAAGGUUUUCGGAUCGUAAAACUCUGUUGUAAGGGAAGAACAAGUACAGUAGUAACUGGCUGUACCUUGACGGUACCUUAUUAGAAAGCCACGGCUAACUACGUGCCAGCAGCCGCGGUAAUACGUAGGUGGCAAGCGUUGUCCGGAAUUAUUGGGCGUAAAGCGCGCGCAGGCGGUCCUUAAGUCUGAUGUGAAAGCCCACGGCUCAACCGUGGAGGGUCAUUGGAAACUGGGGGACUUGAGUGCAGAAGAGGAAAGUGGAAUUCCAAGUGUAGCGGUGAAAUGCGUAGAGAUUUGGAGGAACACCAGUGGCGAAGGCGACGUUCUGGUCUGUAACUGACGCUGAGGCGCGAAAGCGUGGGGAGCAAAC